GCCCCUAUAGCUCAGUGGUAGAGCGUUAUACUUGUAAUAUAAAGGUCCGUAGUUCAAACCUGCGUGGGGGCU
rnacentral:tRNA from 4 species